ensembl:lncRNA
AUCAAACUGUAAUCACUAUGUAUAACCAAAGCCAUACAGUAUGUAGUAUUGAAAUAGACAGCAUGAAGACUACUGAAGCUGCUCUGAUUACUAGAUGUAGAGGUGCCAUGAUAAAGGUCUUUACACAUGGGACACCAUGCUAAAGGGCAUCACACAUGGACCACCAUGCUAAAGGUCUUUACACAUGGACCACCAUGAUAAAGGUCUUUACACAUGGACACCAUGCUAAAGGGCAUCACACAUGGACACCAUGCUAAAGGACAUCACACAUGGACACCAUGCUAAAGGGCAUCACACAUGGACACCAUGCUAAAGGGCAUCAUGAUAAUGGUCUUUACACAUGGACAUCAUGAUAAAGGGCAUCAUGAUAAAGCGCAUCAUGAUAAAGGUAUUUACACAUGGACACCAUGCUAAAGGGCAUCAUGAUAA